rnacentral:rRNA from 1 species
GAGCGAUCUUCUUCGGAAGGGAGCGGCGGACGGGUGAGUAACGCGUGGGUAACCUGCCCUGUACACACGGAUAACAUACCGAAAGGUAUGCUAAUACGGGAUAACAUAAGAAAGUCGCAUGGAUUUCUUAUCAAAGCUUUUGCGGUACAGGAUGGACCCGCGUCUGAUUAGCUAGUUGGUAAGGUAACGGCUUACCAAGGCGACGAUCAGUAGCCGACCUGAGAGGGUGAUCGGCCACAUUGGAACUGAGACACGGUCCAAACUCCUACGGGAGGCAGCAGUGGGGAAUAUUGCACAAUGGGCGAAAGCCUGAUGCAGCAGCGCCGCGUGAGCGAUGAAGGCCUUCGGGUCGUAAAGCUCUGUCCUCAAGGAAGAUAAUGACGGUACUUGAGGAGGAAGCCCCGGCUAACUACGUGCCAGCAGCCGCGGUAAUACGUAGGGGGCUAGCGUUAUCCGGAAUUACUGGGCGUAAAGGGUGCGUAGGCGGUCUUUCAAGUCAGAAGUGAAAGGCUACGGCUCAACCGUAGUAAGCUUUUGAAACUGUAAGACUUGAGUGCAGGAGAGGAGAGUGGAAUUCCUAGUGUAGCGGUGAAAUGCGUAGAUAUUAGGAGGAACACCAGUUGCGAAGGCGGCUCUC